ACUAAAGCAUAGUUUCUUCCAUGUAAACAAACUCAACACAAUUGUUGUUACAGAUAUCCUAUUCCCAUACAGAGUCCAAGUUUUGACAAGAUUUUUCCACAAGCUAGAACCCUGGGCUUUUUCUUCUCACACACCACCUGUUAGGUUGUUCCUUCCGUAUAUGCCACGUAACACUUUGCGCCACAAACCUUUGUCUCCUUUGUAGAACUUCCAGCCUAGUUUAGCUAGACAGGACUCGCACACCGAAGACCAAGAUACCCAAUUGACCUAUCUCUUACCUUCAUCACCUUUCCAAAGAAAA
rnacentral:lncRNA from 1 species